CAAUAGCGUAUAUUAAAGUUGUUGCGGUUAAAAAGCUCGUAGUUGGAGUUCUGCCAGGUGCCGCCUGUCCGCCCCAGUGGUGAGUACGUGGCGCGCAUUUGGCCCUUUCAAGGGGAGCGUAUCUGCACUUUAUUGUGUGGUGCGGGAUCCUUGACUUUUACUUUGAAAAAAUUAGAGUGUUCAAAGCAGGCCAACGCAUUGAAUACAUUAGCAUGGAAUAAUGGAAUAGGACUUUGGUCUUAUUUUGUUGGUUUCUAAGGCCGAGGUAAUGAUUAAUAGGGAUAGUUGGGGGCGUUUAUAUUCCGUUGUCAGAGGUGAAAUUCUUGGAUUUACGGAAGAUAAACUACUGCGAAAGCAUUCGCCAAGGAUGUUUUCAUUAAUCAAGAACGAAAGUUAGGGGAUCGAAGACGAUCAGAUACCAU
rnacentral:rRNA from 1 species